rnacentral:rRNA from 1 species
CCUACGGGAGGCAGCAGUCGAGAAUCAUUCACAAUGGGGGAAACCCUGAUGGUGCGACGCCGCAUGGGGGAAUGAAGGUCUUCGGAUUGUAAACCCCUGUCAUGUGGGAGCAAAUUAAAAAGAUAGUACCACAAGAGGAAGAGACGGCUAACUCUGUGCCAGCAGCCGCGGUAAUACAGAGGUCUCAAGCGUUGUUCGGAAUCACUGGGCGUAAAGGGUGCGUAGGCUGGUUCGUAAGGCGUGUGUGAAAGGCGCGGGCUCAACCCGCGGACGGCACAUGAUACUGCGAGACUAGAGUAAGGGAGGGGGAACCGGAAUUCUCGGUGUAGCGGUGAAAUGCGUAGAUAUCGAGAGGAACACUCGUGGCGAAGGCGGCUUCCUGGACAUUAACUGACGCUGAGGCACGAAGGCCAGGGGAGCGAAAGGGAUUAGAUACCCUUGUAGUC